rnacentral:rRNA from 1 species
GACGAACGCUGGCGGCGUGCUUAACACAUGCAAGUCGAACGGAAAGGCCCCUUUGGGGGUACUCGAGUGGAACAGGGGUGUGUAACACGGGAGAAACCUGCCCUUGACUUCGGGAAAACUUCAGGAAACUGGGGAAAAUACCGGGUAGGAAUCCUUGCUGCAGGGUGGGGGUGGGAAAGCUUCGCGGGUGUGGGUGGGACCGGGGGCUAUUCGGUUUGUGGGUGGGGUAGUGGCUUCCAAGGGGUUGGCGGGGAGCCCGCCCGGGGGGGGUACCCGGCAAAUUGGGACUGAGGUCCGGCCCAGACUCCUACCGGGGGCAGCAGUGGGGAAUAUUUCACAAUGGGCGGGAGCCUGAUGCAGCAACGCCGCGGGCGGGAUGACGGCCUUCGGGUUGUAAACCGCUUUCCGCAGGGGCGAAGCUUGUGGUGACGGUACCUGCAGAAGAAGCACCGGCUAACUACGUG